GGGGAAUAUUGGACAAUGGGCGCAAGCCUGAUCCAGCCAUACCGCGUGGGUGAAGAAGGCCUUCGGGUUGUAAAGCCCUUUUGUUGGGAAAGAAAUCCAGCUGGCUAAUACCCGGUUGGGAUGACGGUACCCAAAGAAUAAGCACCGGCUAACUUCGUGCCAGCAGCCGCGGUAAUACGAAGGGUGCAAGCGUUACUCGGAAUUACUGGGCGUAAAGCGUGCGUAGGUGGUCGUUUAAGUCCGUUGUGAAAGCCCUGGGCUCAACCUGGGAACUGCAGUGGAUACUGGGCGACUAGAGUGUGGUAGAGGGUAGCGGAAUUCCUGGUGUAGCAGUGAAAUGCGUAGAGAUCAGGAGGAACAUCCAUGGCGAAGGCAGCUACCUGGACCAACACUGACACUGAGGCACGAAAGCGUGGGGAGCAAAC
rnacentral:rRNA from 1 species